UACAGAGGUCUCAAGCGUGUUCGGAUUCAUUGGGCGUAAAGGGUGCGUAGGUGGCGCCGUAAGUCAGGUGUGAAAUUUCGGAGCUUAACUCCGAAACUGCAUUUGAUACUGCGGUGCUUGAGGACUGGAGAGGAGACUGGAAAUUCACGGUGUAGCAGUGAAAUGCGUAGAUAUCGUGAGGAAGACCAGUGGCGAAGGCGGGUCUCUGGACAGUUCUGACACUGAGGCACGAAGGCUAGGGGAGCAAACGGG
rnacentral:rRNA from 1 species